rnacentral:rRNA from 1 species
AUACGUAGGUGGCAAGCGUUGUCAGGAAUUAUUGGGCGUAAAGCGCGCGCAGGCGGUCCUUUAAGUCUGAUGUGAAAGCCCACGGCUCAACCGUGGAGGGUCAUUGGAAACUGGGGGACUUGAGUGCAGAAGAGGAAAGUGGAAUUCCAAGUGUAGCGGUGAAAUGCGUAGAGAUUUGGAGGAACACCAGUGGCGAAGGCGACUUUCUGGUCUGUAACUGACGCUGAGGCGCGAAAGCGUGGGGAGCAAACAGGAUUAGAUACCCUGGUAGUCCACGCCGUAAACGAUGAGUGCUAAGUGUUAGGGGGUUUCCGCCCCUUAGUGCUGCAGCUAACGCAUUAAGCACUCCGCCUGGGGAGUACGGUCGCAAGACUGAAACUCAAAGGAAUUGACGGGG